CAAAGCCUUGCUUUGUGUCCUGUGUUGUGAUGGUGCACCAGCAGCAGCCGUGAAACAGAAUGCAGAACUUACUACUGUUACCUCGGAGUAGCUGCUGCGAUGAGGAGGACAAGAACCUGAUGAAGAUGGCAUAGAGGAGA